UACGAAGGGGGCUAGCGUUGUUCGGAUUUACUGGGCGUAAAGCGCACGUAGGCGGCUUUGCAAGUUAGAGGUGAAAGCCCGGGGCUCAACUCCGGAAUUGCCUUUAAAACUGCAUCGCUAGAAUUGUGGAGAGGUAAGUGGAAUUCCGAGUGUAGAGGUGAAAUUCGUAGAUAUUCGGAAGAACACCAGUGGCGAAGGCGACUUACUGGACACAUAUUGACGCUGAGGUGCGAAAGCGUGGGGAGCAAACAGGG
rnacentral:rRNA from 1 species